AACGAACGCUGGCGGCAUGCCUAACACAUGCAAGUCGAACGAGACCUUCGGGUCUAGUGGCGCACGGGUGCGUAACGCGUGGGAACCUGCCCUUAGGUUCGGAAUAACUCCCCGAAAGGGGUGCUAAUACCGGAUAAUGUCUUCGGACCAAAGAUUUAUCGCCUUUGGAUGGGCCCGCGUUGGUUUAGCGAGUUGGUAGGGUAAAAGCCUACCAAGGCGACGAUCCAUAGCUGGUCUGAGAGGAUGAUCAGCCACACUGGGACUGAGACACGGCCCAGACUCCUACGGGAGGGAGCAGUGGGGAAUAUUGGACAAUGGGCGAAAGCCUGAUACAGCAAUGCCGCGUGAGUGAUGAAGGCCUUAGGGUUGUAAAGCUCUUUUACCCGGGAUGAGAAUGACAGUACCGGGAGAAUAAGCUCCGGCUAACUCCGUG
rnacentral:rRNA from 1 species